AGUGAACGCUGGCGGUAUGCCUAACACAUGCAAGUCGAACGGCAGCACAGUAAGAGCUUGCUCUUACGGGUGGCGAGUGGCGGACGGGUGAGGAAUACAUCGGAAUCUACUUUUUCGUGGGGGAUAACGUAGGGAAACUUACGCUAAUACCGCAUACGACCUACGGGUGAAAGCAGUGGAUCUUCGGACCUUGCGCGAUUGAAUGAGCCGAUGUCGGAUUAGCUAGUUGGCGGGGUAAAGGCCCACCAAGGCGACGAUCCGUAGCUGGUCUGAGAGGAUGAUAAGCGACACUGGAACUGAGACACGGUCCAGACUCCUCAGGGAGGCAGAAGUGGGGAAUAUUGGACAAUGGGAGCGAGACUGAUCCAGCCCUACCGCGUGGGUGAAGAAGGCCUUCGGGUUGUAAAGACCUUUUGUUGGGAAAGAAAAGCAGCAGGUUAAUACCCAGCUGUGCUGACGGUACCCAAAGAAUAAGCACCGGCUAACUUCGUG
rnacentral:rRNA from 1 species